AAAGGGUGCGUAGGCGGUUUAUUAAGUCAGUGGUGAAAGACGGUCGCUCAACGAUUGCAGUGCCAUUGAUACUGGUAGACUUGAGUGAGAUUGAGGUAGCUGGAAUGGAUAGUGUAGCGGUGAAAUGCAUAGAUAUUAUCCAGAACACCAAUUGCGUAGGCAAGUUACUAAGUCUCAACUGACGCUGAGGCACGAAAGUGUGGGUAUCAAACAGGAUUAGAUACCCUAGU
rnacentral:rRNA from 1 species